UGACUUUGAAAAAUCACCAAAAAUGGUGGAAAUUUAAUUAGAGGCUGAAUAAUAUAUGAAAUUGAAGCUUAAUGAGUCUAUUUUCACAUAAAAGAAAUAGAAAAAGCAAAAGAGUUAUAUAUUUUGAGAUAUUUGAAGUUUAAUUAGACAGAGUCAGAAUGAGUUUGGAAUCCCCUGUUUUGACUUUGGAAAAUUGUAAAAAAUUGUACAAAAAUAAUUAUGGGAUAAAGUUUAUAUGUUUAGAAUUAUCAGUGAAUCUAUUUUUAUGAGAAACAAACGGAAACUAUAUCUGAAUUCUGUACAGUGAGAUAAUUAAUUUUUAGUGAAGAGAGGUCAGAACUGUCAAACAGUGAAACAGGGGAAAAUUUAAAGAAUAAACUGUACUAUUUGGCUAAACUAAAAAUUAUGAAAAUUUUAUGGUAAGAAUAUAUGUGAAUCUAGUUUUGGAUAAAAUUUACGGAUCUUAAUUUGGAUUUCUGUAGCUCCGGGUAAAAAUAAUUUAGUGACUAUGACUCGAAUAGACAGCUUUGAAUAUACAUGUUAGUGAAUAGAGAAAUUAUAGUUAAUGUUGUUUAAAUGUGAUAUACACAUAAAGGAUGUGGAAUGGAGAGGAGGAGGAGGACAAUAAAAUGUAGGAAAUAAUUGUGUAUAAUGGUCAUAUGCCCGAUUAUAAUCGGUAAAUGUUAAAUUGAAUGGUAAAUACGUAUUGGUACCGAAGGAACUAUUGCGGUUUUGAAAAGCAAUUGACCAAAUGUAUAAGAAAUUUAGUCUUGAUAUAUAUAUAUGAUAAUAAUGAUAUAUGGAUGAUUAUAUCAUUGAGUUGCAUUGAUUAAUUCGGUUUAUGUCAUGGAAAUGUCAAGAACAUUUGUCUUUGAUAUGUGAUGAUCAUGGUUUAAGCUCAUAUGGGAAAAUAAAGUUUCAUAGUAUGAGAGUGUGGUAUUGAAAUAUAUAUAUUGGAUUGAGAAAUUAAUUUGAAUUGUGAACACGAAAUAUUGUGAAUUGAAUAAAAUGGAAAUGGAGCUUUGAAUUACAUAAGUAAGUAUCGGGUCUCGUAGGCCCUAUUUGUUAUGAAUAUAAUAUUUUGAGGAUAUGUUAUAAAGAAUUAUAAAAGCAUGUUAAAAAUUUGAAG
rnacentral:lncRNA from 1 species